UUAUAACAGCAUUUUCUAACGUCCAAUAUUGCAGUGUAUGAUUUUUGAGCAGUACACAGGGGGGUUGUGUAUAUGAGUUUUAUGGGCCUAAUCCAAAGGUUAUUGAAAGACAUUCAUUGUCUUCAUUGGACUUUCAUUAAGCUGAUAUGAAAGAAAUUUGGAAAAUGAACUACGUUUUCAGGAUAGCUUUCUGAAGUCUUCAGUCUUUUAUCAAGUUCUCAGAAUUCAUUAUGGUGUACAGUAUAACAGUAUAUUCACUGAUGUUUUCAAAAUAUACUCAAAGAUGGUGACAGAUUUCCUUCAACAGAAGGUGCCACCAAGAGAUAAUUGUGUGCAUCUCUGGUACUUUGGUGAAGUCAUCAUACAAAUGGCUGAAAUGUUUCAAGUCUCCCAAAACUUAGGGAUCUGGCACCCAUCUAAUCCUUGGUGAGCCAAUUUAGUGCACUAAAAUAGUAGAAGAAUAAUCCAGUAAAAAAGGUGAGUACUCGGCUGCUGUCUUGGUGAGCUGAAUUGGAGCUGAAACAGAACAGAACUGAAUCAUCAGUGGGUCAGAAGAGUACAGAAAGGUAGGACCAAGUGGCAAGGGGAUGAUCUGAACUUUUUGAUAGAAGUGAGCUGUUAAAUCACCUCAGUUGUGUCAUGAAAUCUUUUCUGACAGAAGAUCACACAAAGGAUUAAAUAACAGAAAAGGUCAAACAGCAGACUAGCAAGGAAAAAUUUUUUGACUGCGCCUAGAACUGUUGUUUUGUUUCAGCAAACAAAAUCAUAGUUUUAGCAUACAAAAUCAUAGUUUUACACAAAAGCAACUGCUUUAUAGUGUGAGUACUAGUCAGUGAUACUAAUUUUGAAACUACCUUAGAAGAAAAGUAUGUGUAUUAAUAAUCUAUACCAAUUUAGGAAUAAAACUUCCAUUGAACUUAGAAAGAAUAAGCUUUGUCACCUAAUGACUUUGUGUCUUUUGUUAUGAUUUGUUUAGGAAAGAUAUUUUGUUGGAACAAUAGCUAAGAAAUACAAGUUCUAAUAGUGUCUGUGCUGUAGCUUUUCCUUGUGACCUCUGUUAAGACACUGAUACCCCAAUUUUGAAUGUUUCCAGUGUUAGUGAUGUCCAGUAGAAACAACUGUGGUGGUUUAAGAUACUACUUUCCCCAUCUUCUGGAAGAGUUUAAGAAGCAAACUGGUGAUGCCACAGCUGUUUUAAUUGCCAUUCCAGCAUCUUGGCUUCAGCCACUUCUGUUUUUCUAAAAAUUAUAGCAGCUAAGCAGCUGGCACCUUUGACACCUCUAUAGGGCUGAGAAUCUCUGAGUAAAAGUAGAGUAGACAGUGGUAAUAUCUUACUUAAAGCCACCAAAUUCAUGAGCCCUCAUAAGGAGGAGAUGGCAGCAACAGAGCCAUGCAUAGCCAUACAUGAGUAAAAUGAGAUCAGGCAGAUUUUCAGGAAACAGAUGCAUUGUCAAAUAGAUGUUAACAAUCUAUAACACUCUAUGGUUCAAAGCCACUCUCUUUUUUUUUUUUUUUUUUUU